rnacentral:rRNA from 1 species
AGAAUCAACGCUGGCGGCGUGCCUAACACAUGCAAGUCGCACGAGAAAGGGACUUCGGUCCUGAGUACAGUGGCGUACGGGUGAGUAACACGUGAAUAAUCUACCGUCCGAGUGGGGAAUAACUGAGAGAAAUCUUAGCUAAUACCGCAUAACACUUACGAGUCAAAGCAGCAAUGCGCUUGGAGAGGAGUUCGCGGCAGAUUAGUUAGUUGGCGGGGUAAUGGCCCACCAAGACGAUGAUCUGUA